CUACGGGAGGCAGCAGGGAAUUUUGCGCAAUGGGCGAAAGCCUGACGCAGCAACGCCGCGUGGGGGAUGAAGGCCUUCGGGUUGUAAACCCCUUUCAGGAGGGAAGAAAUUGACGGUACCUCCAGAAGAAGCACCGGCCAACUACGUGCCAGGCAGCCGCGGUAAUACGUAGGGUGCGAGCGUUAUCCGGAAUCAUUGGGCGUAAAGAGCUCGUAGGCGGUUCAGCAAGUCGGCUGUGAAAGUCCGAGGCUCAACCUCGGAAUUGCAGUCGAUACUGCUGUGACUCGAGUCCGGUAGAGGAGAACGGAAUUCCCGGUGUAGCGGUGAAAUGCGCAGAUAUCGGGAGGAACACCAGUAGCGAAGGCGGUUCUCUGGGCCGGCACUGACGCUGAGGAGCGAAAGCGUGGGGAGCGAACAGGAUUAGAUACCCCGGUAGUC
rnacentral:rRNA from 1 species